AAGACACUAAGAUUAAAGAUUUGGAAAGAUUUCUUGCAGAAGGAUGAAAGCAAUGAGGACUGUUAGCCUUGAAGUCACAAAAAUCUGAGUUGAAGUCCAGCCUCUGUGUGAUCAUGGACUAGUCACUAAUCUCCAAGUGCCCUCAGGCAAAUCUCCUGCAGACUCCCACAGUCAGUAGAGCUGAUUGAAUUAAACUAUCAGGCAUGGACUCUGUUACUCUAUCACAAUGCCAAACCUGCAUGGCAG